GCCGGGUAUGGUGGCAUAUGCCUGUAAUCCCAGCUACUCUGGAGGCUGAGGCAGGAGACUCGCUUGAAGCUAGGAGGCAGAGGUUGCAGUGAGCCGAGAUCGUGUCACUGCACUCCAGCCUGGGCGACAGACUCCAUCCCCAAAAGAAGAAGACAGAGUCUCACCCUGUUGCCUAGGCUGGAGUGCAGUGGCAUGAUCUCUGCUCACUGCAACCUCUACCUCCCGGGUUCAAGCGAUUCUCAUGCCUCA
rnacentral:sRNA from 1 species